UUCAAUCAACUCUAGUUUCCUAUGCUCCUCUUGGCAUCAUCUAUACCGAUUUAUGGACCUCUCUGGUUCACUCUCUUGAUGGCUUUAAAGAUUAUGUCAUAUUUAUUGAUCAUUUCACCAAUUACAUUGGUUUUAUCCUCUCAAAAAUAAAUCUGACACAAAGGUUGUUUUCAUAUAUUUUAAAGCCUUAAUUGAAAAGUUCUUUGAAAAACCAAUUAAAGUAUUAUAAUUAUAUAAUGCGAGUGAACAUGAGGCAUUAGCCUCUUACUUAACUACUUUUGGAUUUUCUCACCUCACCUCACCGCCUCACACUCUCGAACAUAACGGUUUUUCCAAAUGAUGUCAUCGUCAUAUCGUUAAAACGGGGUUUUCACUCUUAACUCACGCUCAACUUCCACUAUCGUAUCUUAUUGGGCAUUUUCCUUCUCUAAUCCCUCUUAUUUAAUUAAUAGGAUUCCCACUCCUACCUUGUCCAAUAAAUCUCCAUAUAAUUUCUUGUUUUCCUCUUUGCACAACUAUCAAAAAUUACGUAGCUUUGGAUGUCUUUGGUAUCCUUGGCUAAAACCAUACGCCAUUCAUAAACUUUACCCGAAAUCUAAACCGUGUCUCUUUAUUGGGUACUCUAAAACUCAAAGUGCAUACUUUUUUGAGCAAAUUCCACUUAAAGACGAAUUUGUCUUGAGGAUGGUGCUAACAAUCGAUUGAGCUAGAUAAUGCAAAAUUACAAGAGUAAGUCGUAAGAGCAUAAGUUAGGGUAUUAUUAGCAAAAGGAAUUUCAUAUGUACAAACGAAACCGUCUAAGCCACUUUAUAGGCAUUACAUAAUGAGUGUAACGUCUAAAACAUUAAUACACAUAAUUAGACUUAAAGUAGGUAAUUAUGGUCGUACUUCAAUUGGUUGUGUAACCAAUGUUGCCUUCUUAAACGUUGGGAGCAAGUUGGUAGAUGUACCGUCCUGCCUUGCUGGAAACUAUGUGUGUUCCAUGGUGGCACAUUUGGACAUGUCAACAAGAGGGUAUUUUCCCCCCUAACAAUUGUCCCCAAACCCAUUUUGAAUUUAUUUCGGGAUGUUCAAAGAAGAAAUGGGUUUCCUUGGUUCCGAGAGAGGGGAGGAAAUGGCCUCUUAUCCCUCCAAUACUUGAAGCCGUGAUGUAAUGAUGAUUUUUGGUAAUCCAACCGCCCAAACCUUCCAUAAAUACAUCCAUCCUCCUUACCCACUUCUUCACACUUCCUCCUUCUCUCUCUUUUCAACUGCAAAAAGAAGCUGGUGGUUUUUUCCUUCCUGCUUCCAGGGGCAUCAUUCGACACCGUCGGGGUCGACGCUAAAGCGGUCGAGAAGACUGCUGUUCUUUUGAGGAUUCCUUUGAAGGACAGGGCUUUGUAUGGCGUGAGGUUUGAGCGUGAAGAACUCUCACAGGAAGAGGAAUACUCCGAACAUGCAAACAUGUCGACUUCAACAGGUAAAACGGGUUAGCGUUAGUUUACAAGUCAGGUUCGUUGCCCUUUAUCCUUAAAAAGAUUACAAGUUUGAUUGACGAGACUGAGUCGUGUGAAUAAUGUUGUUGGGCCGAAACUCGUCCUUCGACACGCUUUGGUAAGGCCCCGUUUACAGAGGCGUUGCUGAAGAGAAAGAUGGAGAAACUAGGGAGUGUAGCCCAGCCUAAACCCAUCACCGUGGUGUCACCCCGGAAGCCGCCAAAGGCUUCCCAUGACGCUACCGUAAACUGGGGAGACGGGAACGUUUUCGGUUGCGGAAUUCAAGAUGCCGCCUCCAUCUCGGAAGAGAAAACUCACUGUCGAGUUUCCCGACGACUAUGGGUCGGCUGACGCCCCUCUGCACCAGCUAUGGCCAUAAGUGGACCGCUUGUGGAUGACGUCCUGCCGCGAGCGUCAAGAGACCCUGUCGCCAGUUGCUGCAACUGGCGAGAGCGUCUCGGAUGCCUGGAAGGCCCUGCAAUCUGCUUUGGCUACUCGCCAUCAUGUCAUAACAUUGGAAGAUCAGUUAGUAAAAAUAAAAAAUGACAUGAAAAAAUCAAAACAGGAGGUCGGUAGACUUGGUGGCAUCGCCAAGGAGGCGACGGCUAAAGCCGAGGUACUGGAGACAGAGCACGCAAAGGGGACUGCUGAAGAUUGCUGCGUCGGAUGCCGAGAAGGAGGAGCUGGUUGAUGAAGUUGACGACCUGCAGACGUCCCUCACCAAAGUCAAAGCAAGGAUUUUGGGUGUGCUGGUUAUUACACUUGGGAAAUGCAAGCUGAGAUAAUGGAGGACUUCUUAGCGGGCGGGCAUGCGGACUGGACUCUAGCGAAAGAUAUUGCCUAGUUCAACACCGCAUUCCCCGGGGAGUAUGUCCCCCUUGGUGCCGUUAGUGAUGAUGAGGACAUUGAGGAGGGUGCAACUGCAAUCAGCCCCAACGCCGAGAUGGUGGCGGCACCAGGUAAUGGAGAGCAGUCCUUUCCCCACCCCCUUGAAAAAUAUAUAACUUGUGGUUACUUUUCAAAAAAUGGUUUUUUGGUUGGCCUUAGUGAGGUCAAAAUAUAUUGCGCCUGUGUUUCACGUUCAAGGCGGCAGUCUUUUGUGAUUUUUGGCUUGUCCAUGGGGACAAGUCAUGUAAAUAUUCGUAGAUUUUCUGGUUUUAAUUUUUAUGCUUGCUUUGUGUGAACUGUUGUGUUUGGAAAGAUGUGUUUGGUUUGUGUUUAUUUUUGUGUGCAGGGAACUUUGGUGUACGUACCUUGCAUUUGACAUUGCGACGCCUUCAGCUUGUCAGAAGUAGAGCUUCAAAGGAAGAGAUGCAAACUGCAAAAAAUGUACAUAUGUAUUCCUGUUUAUGUGUAGUAUACAAUGUAAUGUGUCAGGAGUUUUGUAUGGCCUAAAUUGUAGUUUUGUAAAUUGUAAAGUUUGUAAUAUGUAAUUCGUACAAGUAGUUUGUAACAUUGAAAAUAUUAAUAAAAUGUCAG